ACCAAUCUUUACUACUGGUAAAGGUAUACAGGGGAACUACACCUACCAUCAAUGAACUUCACAGGUUAACCCGUGGCCUGAGUGAGGAAGGCAAUGUCCUUGCUAGUCACUAUUUGUGGCGACAUCUCCAAAUUGCGUGAAACCCGUCAUACAGCUUCAAGUACCACUUCAAGUGAGAAAUCUUUUGAAGGAACAGAGGUAACUCCUCUUCCCAAUCGGACUUCCCGAAAUGGUUCGAUGGUAAAAAGCUUGAAGACACGGUGGCAAUGCGCAGCCAAGCUCCUAAGUAUUUUAAAUAUAAGGAGAAGGUUCAGAGAGCAGACGGAGAUGGGCGGUAAUUAUCGCCGCUUAAGGUGUGCUCCAGCCUCAUUCGAAAGAUUGAG
rfam:Macrostomum lignano uti_cns_0009350, whole genome shotgun sequence.